rnacentral:lncRNA from 1 species
GAUUUUUAGCUCACCUGGCCCGAAGGGCCAAGUGAGCUUUUCUCAUUACUUGGCGUCCGGCGUCCAUCGUCGUCCGUCGUCGUUAACUUUUACAAAAAUCUUCUCCUCUGAAACUGCUGGGCCAAAUUUAACCAAACAUGGCCAAAAUCAUUAUUAGGGUAUCUAGUUUAAAAAUUGUGUUCGGUGACCCGCCCAACCAACCAAGAUGGCCGCCAUGG